AGCCAUGCAUGUCUAAGCAUGAGCCGAACUAUGGUGAAGCCGCGAAUGGCUCAUUACAACAGCCGUUGUUUCUUGGAUCUUGAUUUACUUGGAUAACUGUGGUAAUUCUAGAGCUAAUACAUGCAACCAAGCUCCGACCUCGCGGAAGGAGCGCAUUUAUUAGACCAAGACCAAUCAGGCUUUGCCUGGAACCUGGUGACUCUGAAUAACUUUGCUGAUCACAUGGUCCUAGUACCGGUGACAUAUCUUUCAAGUGUCUGCCCUAUCAACUUUCGAUGGUAGUUUAUGUGCCUACCAUGGUUGUAACGGGUAACGGAGAAUAAGGGUUCGACUCCGGAGAGGGAGCCUGAGAAAUG
rnacentral:rRNA from 1 species